UACGAGGGGUGCAAGCGUUGCUCGGAAUUAUUGGGCGUAAAGGGUAGGUAGGUGGUCUCAUUUGUCUAGGGUGAAAUCCUGGGGCUUAACCCCAGAAGUGCCCUAGAAACGGUGAGACUUGAGUCUUGGAGAGGCUAGCGGAAUUCCCGGUGUAGCGGUGAAAUGCGUAGAGAUCGGGAGGAACACCAGAGGCGAAGGCGGCUAGCUGGACAAGCACUGACACUCGAACUACGAAAGCGUGGGGAGCAAACAGG
rnacentral:rRNA from 1 species